CGCGGCCUAUCAGCUUGUUGGUGGGGUGAUGGCCUACCAAGGUGACGACGGGUAGCCGGCCUGAGAGGGCGACCGGCCACACUGGGACUGAGACACGGCCCAGACUCCUACGGGAGGCAGCAGUGGGGAAUAUUGCACAAUGGGCGGAAGCCUGAUGCAGCGACGCCGCGUGAGGGAUGACGGCCUUCGGGUUGUAAACCUCUUUCAGCAGGGACGAAGCGUGAGUGACGGUACCUGCAGAAGAAGCGCCGGCCAACUACGUGCCAGCAGCCGCGGUAAGACGUAGGGCGCGAGCGUUGUCCGGAUUUAUUGGGCGUAAAGAGCUCGUAGGCGGCUUGUCGCGUCGACUGUGAAAACCCGCAGCUCAACUGUGGGCUUGCAGCCGAUACGGGCAGGCUAGAGUUCGGUAGGGGAGACUGGAAUUCCUGGUGUAGCGGUGAAAUGCGCAGAUAUCAGGAGGAACACCGGUGGCGAAGGCGGGUCUCUGGGCCGAUACUGACGCUGAGGAGCGAAGGCGUGGGGAGCGAACAGGAUUAGAUACCCUGGUAGUCCACGCUGUAAACGUUGGGCGCUAGGUGUGGGGGGCCUCUCCGGUUCUCUGCGCCGCAGCUAACGCAUUAAGCGCCCCGCCUGGGGAGUACGG
rnacentral:rRNA from 1 species